CUGGAUAUAGUUCAGUAGGUAGAACGCUGCAUUUGGGAUGCAGAGGUCGUGUGUUCGAGCCACACUAUCCAGA
rnacentral:tRNA from 2 species